rnacentral:tRNA from 1 species
CGGGGCAUGGCGCAGCCCGGUAGCGCACCUGUAUGGGGUACAGGAGGUCGCAGGUUCGAAUCCUGCUGCCCCGACCA